rnacentral:misc_RNA from 1 species
GCCAUUAAACCCCAUCUCUACCAUGAUCUCUACUGCGCUCUCGAGAGCACAGAGGGUGUGUGUUGGAACGUUUACCUGCUGUUGUGCGACAAGCGAGGAAUUUCACAAGUGUUUUUAUUACAUUGCGCUAGCCGUUAGUCACCGUGCUGUUUCCGUGUGUCACAUUUGAAGUCCCAAUGACGUAGACAGCUUUGCAUCGUCGCAAGGUUCUCGGUGCGCUUGAAACGAAGAAUGGAAGUGAAUAUGUGUGCCAUCGAAACCAACAAAUCGCCUUCGAUCGUGGCCUCAAAAUACAACCAUCUCGGCUAGUAAGCGUACUUACAUACGUCGCAGAAUAGGCGUGAACUGUUAGAAGCACGACACUCGCAUAAAGACACCGCGACUCCUCUAAAGUAGGCGGAAACCAGCACCUGUGGAAAUAAACUGCCAACUGCAUUGCCAUCGUUUGUACACCACAACUAGCCACUAUGAACAGCCAUCGCAUCGGAAACACCUCGGCAUUCUGGCUUGAAGACACGUCGUCACUGAAAGAAGCCGCUCGGCUAUCAGCCCAAGUCAAGCAAGAUGCUGACUUUGGACCUGACCCUUUCAAGACGUCCACCAUAGACGACUGUCUUGAGCAAGUAGUGCAGUCGAAAAACAAAAAGGAACUGAGCGCCGACGAUGACUACUACUGGAACACUUCUGCCCACGUUGCGUUCAACUUCGACGACGUGGACGACGACGGGAGAAGGAAUGUGCAGUUCAACAAGAGAGCGCAGUCUUCCGCCAACAACGUGAGGAAAUUUAGCUUUGAUGAAUCGAACCGAGUCACUGCGGAAGCCUGCGGUGUCACCCUGCCUUCUCCUGGCUCAAACUUGAGGCAGGCGGGCCUGGGAGAUGUACAGAAGCAUGCCGAAAGGCUGAGGAUCAGCCAUGACGUUCCUACGAAAGGUCUAAAAAGUACAAACACCCCGGAGGAGACGGUGAGGAACAUUGUGAUAGGCCAGCCUUACUUCCUUGGUCAGCACCGUUCAAAAGAAGACAAAAUUGCUCUGCUGAAUGAGGCUGUGCGUAUUCAAGAUGGAAAUGCCAUAAUUGCUGUCUUGCUCUUUCUGAAGCAAACCCUGAAGCAGUCUCUGUUCAACCAAGAACUGAUGCAAAGACCGAGGGCCGUGUCUCACUACCUGAGUCACCUGCGUGCUGUGCAGGACAACAGCCAGCUCAUGGACAUCCUAGGAAUGCUUGGCAGGGCUGAGGACGCUGCUAUGAUCAAGUACAAGCUUGCUGUGGAAACACCGGAAGCGGCAACAAGGCUUCGAAACCUACAGUCCUGUUACAAAUCCCACUUCCAGUCUGACCCUUCACUCGAGACACAGGCUGAACUGGUCAGAGAGGAAUUGAAGCUGCUCGAAAUGCAACUCACCAUCGAGGAACAAGACUCCAGAGCAGAAAUGGAAGGUCAGAACAUCCUGAUGCAAGAGUUUCCCCGCAAGGCCCCUGUAGUGGGGACGUCUCUGGUCACAACGCUUUACUACUGCUGUCUCUAUCAUUACAAUGUCUCGAACAACCAUGUUGCCAGUCCCAGCCAGAUGAAGGCCCUGUUCAAUUUGACCGAAAAACAGUUUGUCUGGACUGCCCUGACAGCCUUAGCACAGAUAAAACAUUGGAAAGAAAUCGACAACCUGUUUCAGGGCAAGUCUUGGCUCGGCAAAUCGAAAAUGCGGUGCUGCAUCGGCUUCGACAAGGCUGUCGAAAUUCUGGCCAAGGCGCAUGCCCCGCCCGAGGUGUUCGAGAAAUACCUACAAAUGGUUGACGAUUCAGAAAAGCGACUGACGUUGGCAAAGGCGCACAAGUGUCACAGCGUUGUCAUUGAGCAACAAGAGACCAGUGAAGGCUAGCGAGGCGAAACGCUGGUUUACCUGAGAGAUCGGCAACGGCUGCUUAGGUACAAGAGUGAAGUUCAGCCACAGUCCACGGCAUUCUUCGAGAUUGAAAGGCUUCUCAACGGCACGGCUGUAAAGUGGAAGAACUGAAGCAACUAUUGAUCUUUUUGUAAAUAAUAAAAAUUCGUAGACAUUUGUGUUACACAAGCUAAAGAAGGAAGCAGCAGCAGGAGCAGCGAGCAACGAAGUUUACGCACGAGAGGUUUGUCUUGUCUAUGGCCAUUUUAUUGCGUAAGAAAUGUACAUUAUAUAAUCUUACAAUAUUUAUUUGGGUAAAAAAUGACAUGUACAAAUUGUGAACACUUACGCGAGUCUUAAACUAUGUGAUGCAUUAACAAAAGAAACUAGCUGUUUUGUUCUGUGUGAAAAAUACAAAAAAAAAAAGCCUCUUUGGUUUCAGAGCCAUCAAGUGCCAUUCAACUCAACAGGGCACAUAAUCUGUGCUGCGAUUUGCAGCAUAUCACAGAAGUAAGUUACAAGAGUCUUAUGUAGCAAG